rnacentral:tRNA from 23 species
AAAUCCGUUGACUUUUAAAAUCGUGAGGGUUCAAGUCCCUCUAUCCCCA